rnacentral:rRNA from 1 species
UACGGAGGGCGCGAGCGUUGUUCGGAAUUAUUGGGCGUAAAGCGCACGUAGGCGGCCCGGUAAGUCUCACUGUGAAAGCCCGGGGCUCAACCCCGGGAGGCCAGGGGAUACUGUCGGGCUGGAGACAAGCAGAGGUGGGUAGAAUUCCGGGUGUAGCGGUGGAAUGCGUAGAGAUCCGGAGGAAUACCAGAGGCGAAGGCGGCUCACUGGGCUUGAUCUGACGCUGAGGUGCGAAAGCGUGGGGAGCGAACAGGAUUAGAAACCCGAGUAGUCC